rnacentral:lncRNA from 1 species
UGGGGUCUCUAUGGGGUCUCUAUGGGGUCUCUAUGGGUCUCUAUGGGUCUCUAUGUGGUUAUAUGGGGUAUAUGGGGUCUCUAUGGGGUGUCUAUGGGUGAUAUGGGGUGAUAUGGGGUUCUAUGGUGUCUAUGGGGUUUAUAUGGGGUUCUAUGGGGCUCUA